CAAGCAGGCUCAACCUGGCACAGCUUGGGGGUGCGGUACCGUAAUUACGCGCAUACACACGUGCCACGAGACCACGCACAGCUUGUUUCUGACAGGCAGAAGGGAGGGAAAAGCUAUUUCUUUGCAGUGGGCAGCAGCCAGGGAGCCCGGCCUGCUCUUUGUUCUGCUCCUCCCCAGGAUGGCAGCCAGUUCCUGUUGGUUUCAGUGCAAAGUAGCUGCCCCUGGCAUCUAAACUCAGGCCCGUUUCCAAGCUGCUGCUUUUGGGGCAAAGGUGUGUGUUUUGAAUAGGGCUGAUUUAGUUGGCACCAGAGGAAUCCAGCAGUAAAUGGCGGAGAGCCACUGUAGGAAGUGACAGCUCUCCCAAGUGAUCAACUGCUCCGGCAUUAUGGCAAGAGGAUGGACAGGGAUAUCCUAUGUUCCAGUGAUCCUCAGAAACAGCAUUAUAGGACUCAGAUGACGUUGCCUGUGGGAAGUGUGCACGGAACAGUGUGUUGUGGAAGGAAAGCUGUGAGCACUCUCUUAAGCUACAGUAUCUGGAAGCAGCUUGCUAUUUUCUUACUGCUGUAUGUACAAAGGAACUAUUCUUAGAUCAAAUGAUUUUAAAGUAAUUGUGACCUGCAAAGGAAGUCAGAACUGAGUUAAAUACAGGUGUGUGUGGGAUGGCUUGCCUAGCCAACGUGUGCUUAAAGAACUAUGGCUUCAGGACCCAGUUCCAGCAGAGUAGUACCUUGACAAGAGUUUGGUGAAGAUACAUACUAAGAGAAGAAUCAUAGAUGUUCAGAACAGGAAGGGUCAUAGGGUGCCUGUAGACGUGGCCAGGAGCUGCUCCGACAAGCUGUAAUUACAGUGCAUUGGAGCAAACUUGAUUAAUUGAGUCUGCUGGACCAUGCUAAUUAGUGUGCUCCAGCCAGCCCCCACGUCUUAUGUAUCAGCAUCGCUGUGCUUCAAAAUGGCAGUAGGGGCACUUUAACUAAAGGCCAUUUAACUAAAGCCCCACUGCCAUUUUGAAGUUCAGGGAUGCUGAUAAACAAGACACUGUGGGCACUUUAAUUAGAGUGGCUCUUAGAGCCCCCCUGCAGUUCAAACCUGUAAGUUCUGGUCUUGAUUUAAUUUUUUUCCCCUAAAAGAUGUGCUGAACUUUCAAGCAGAGGCAGAUCUAGAGGGGGUGCAGUGGUGUGACUGCACCCUACCCCUCUUCCUUUUGGAUUGGAUCCAUCCUGGGAGCUCUGGGAACCUUUUUAAAGUCUCCAAAUAACAUAAGAAUUCCCCUUCCUUCCCCCAUCAUGCUCAGAGGCACAUCCCCUUCCCCAGCUUCCCCUCUUGCUGUUGCUGCUGCUUUCCUCCUGGUCUACAGCAGGGGGGAGCUUCAAAGCUGCAUCUGGGGUGGGUUCAGCUGGGAAAAGUAAAGUAGGAGUGGUGGUGGGCAGGGGGGUUCCCCUUCCUGCAGCUGCUCCCUGUGAGGAGCAGGCAGGGCUGGUGGAAUUCACUCCCUGUCCAUCACAGUGUUACAUUGUUACUAUUCCUAGCCCUCAGAUAGCCUAGCUGGAGCAGUCAGGAGCAGCUUUGAAGCUUCCACCCCACCUUCUACCACUUGUCCCUUCCCUUGCAGCAGGAAAAGCAGUAGUAACAGGGCAGGGGGAAGAGAAGGGGGAGCAGAUGUCCCUCUAAGUAUAGAUGGGAAGAGGGAGAUUCUUCUUACAUGCCUUGGGGACUUUAAUAAAGGACCCAGAGACUGGUGCAGUGGGGUGGGUUUUGCACGUAUCAGGGGUGCAGGGGGCAGGGAGGCUGGGAGCCCCCUGCAGCUUCUGCACCCCCUUUGCCAAAUCCUGGAUCUGCCCCUGCCUUCAAGGUGUCUAGUAAUGAAUUGGUAGGUGUUAGGUGGGAUAGGAUGAAACACAAAUCAGAGAAGAAUUAUUUUGAUAGGUAAACUGCAGUGAUGACAGAAGGAUCUCUGGCAAAAGAGAUUGGUCUAAUAAAAAAUAUCAGAUUCACCCAAGGAACCUUGUCUGGCAAAAGAAGGAAAUUCUUCUCAUGCUCUUGUCACAUCUCCUUUCUGACUGGUCCUUCUCUUCUGUGCUCCAUUUCUUUGGUUGCUUUUCAUCCUCCCACUUUGUAUACUCACUUCAGAGCCCAGGGGCAUAAUUAGGAGAAAAGGGAAAUACCAGUUUGUGUCUUUUCUAUGUUUUAUGAUCCAUAAAGAGGAUCUAUAUGGCUUCCAUAUCCAAAUACGUGGUUCUGCGUGUUUUCCUACCUUACAAAUAUGAUACGUGCCAAAUCUAAUUUUCCCUGUUUUAGAGAAAGACAGAGUCAUGGAUUGGAAACUCUUUAUACCAGCGGUUUUCAAUCCAUGGUCUGUGGACCCCUGGGGCUCCACAGACCAUGUCUAAGGGGUCCAUGAAAGGUGAUUAUGAUGAAUCAAAAGUAUGUGACUACCCACACUUACAAUUCAAAGGGGUCCACAUCUGCAUUUGAAAUUUCCAAAGGGGUCCACAUCUCUAUUCAAAAUUUUUUAGGGGUCCACAAAUGAAAAAAGGUAGAAAACCACUGUUCUAAACUAACUGAAGGGAUGAAGCAUCACAUCUUUUAAAAGCUCUUCUUCUAACUGUCUAUUUGGCAUUUGAGUUAAUGAGAUGCUUACAGAAACAAAGCUAUCCCUGUCACAGGCUUCAUGGAUAGCUGAGUUAGAUGGCAUUUGAAUUUCUCAUGCGUUUAAACAAAGACUUUUUAAACUUUCAGAGCUUCUUCAUGUACUGAAAAGAAGAAAAUCAAGAGGUACAAACUAAACUCUUUUUUUUGAUUACUCAGCUUUGUAAAAAUAAUUAAAAAGUGGUAGAAAGUUUCCAGAGACAGACCAAAAUGCUACUUAUAAUUGUAUGGCUAGAAAAAUCUAUGAUAGUUUAAAACUUACAUCUUAUUGGCUAGUGCAGAAACUUGUCAGGUUUCUAAACCAAAUAGCCAUUUUUCUUAAAUCAAUAACAAAGAAACUGUAAGAAAUCAUAUUGAAUUUUGAUGAGGCUUAGACUCCUACGUGCCUAAAAGGCAGUAGUUCCUCAACCUCUUUAGACUUGAGACACCUAUCAAAAAAUGCUAGCUCUGAGCUUUCACUCAUUUUUUGACUAUGGCAAAACAAUAGAGAAUUCUUCUGUUGCAAAGAACUCAGAAAGACCACAACAAGUCAGAAGUUUUUUAACACUAUGGAUUCCUCUUUGAAAUCCCUGGGUUAAUUUUGUGAAUCAUGUUUAGGUGUUUGAACACUAAACAGUGCUAAUAUUGUGCAACACCCUUAAAAGGAUCUCCUAGCAUCAGGAUGUCAAACAACCCUGGUUAGAAUCACUGACCUAAGGAAAUGGGCAUGCGAACAAGUAACCACAAGGGAAGCUAGGAUAUGAAGUUUUGGCACAACAACUUCUCUGUAGGAACUACUUGUGUGCUAUGCAGUAAAUGUGCAGUAUCUUACCCUGCUUUAAUUGAGGGGUAGGCCACCUCACAUUUACCAUGAGGUAAAAAGUGUGUACAUGGGCAAUAUCACAGAGCAUGUAACAUGCUUCUUCACAUUCCAGUUUACCUCAUAUCAAUUGUUUAAUUGCCUAUAUUCUAAUUCACUUGUAAAAGUGGGGCUUCAGUUCCUAAGACACUUAAAUAUUUUAGAAAAUUUUACCCAAUGCCUUGAAUUAUUUUCAGAUUUGGAAAGGAUGGUAUUUUUAAUGUUCUCUAUGCAGAGCAAUAUACUGUAAUAGAGAAAAUUUCUGAUAGUCAUACUUUUCCUUGUAUAAAUUUGUGAAUAUGUCAAUAUAUUCUACAAAGGCACCAUACAAGCUUAGAACGUGUUCCUGUAAACACUAUUACUGCAAGCAGUUUUGUUGAACUCAAACUAUUUGCUUCAGUAUGCCUUUGGGCCUGAUCCUGUAAAAGCUGACAUUAAUAAGCACUUCUACUUACAAACAUAGUCUUGUGGAACUUGGAGGUCUAACAUAAAUAACGUUGCAGGCUUGUUUGUAGGAUAGAGUCCUAAACAUUAGAGCAGCAUAAAGAUUUAUUUUUAAAAAAGGCUUAAUCUAAAGUCCAUUUGAGUAAAAGAAAAGAGUCCUAUUGACUUCAGCAAUGCUAGGCUCAAAUUCUAGGUGAUACAUCAUAUUGCUUAAGUCACUGUACCCCUCAGAAAGUAGCACCUGAAUAUUCCAACCAGAUUUUAUUCCUCCAAAUAUUUUUGCAACUUUAAUUGAGUCCUCUUCUAUUAUGUACUGAAUUAGCAAAGAUACUCUAACUUGGAUGCAAAUAUUACAAAUCUGGUAUACAUAAGCAACAUAGUAUCAAGUAUCCCAGGCAUCCACAUUUUUUUUAACGGGAUAGAGAGAUUGUGUACACUGAGGAAUAAAAGGUUUGGCUCAUGGUACAUUUCCUCCUGUUCAUGAUGAAUAUGUUAUGCUAUCUUUACUGUGCAACUGUCUGAAUAUAUAUUUCAUUAUAAAUUGAUUGUAAUUAAGUGAAUUAAGUAUACCUGUUGCAUUUAGGGGCAGUUCUGUGUUGUGGGUAUAGUUUGAUAUGUGGAUCAAGGAAGUUUUGCUGUUUAUAUUUUUGCUUUUAGUCAUAAGGAUUGUCAUUUUUCAAAACAAAAAUCUUCCUUUUGCUUUAAAUUUCUAUCCAAUAAAGAUGGCAGAGCACUUCUUGGAGGAAAGGGUUGGAGAAUCCCUAAACAUCCAAUUGUAUAUUCACAUAUGCUUAUGUUAGUUCACCAGCUUUUGUCUAGUGCAAAACAAGAGAAUAUUUGAAAUGCAUUUUCUUUUGCAAAAUUUCCUAGAAACCAUCCAAUUUAUCAGUUGCUCACAGUAUGUAAAGCGCAGCAUUUUUAAAGCUUGUACCUUAUUAGGAAAUGACAGCUGCCAGUGCAUUUCUGUUAUAAUGAACUUUGACAGAAAGGAGCUAUGGCUUAUGUGUUUAAUGCAUGCUAAUAAAGCAGUGAUAUUACUAGUAAAUUCAUGGCAUGUUCAAAGCUAGCCUGACUGACAUUGUAUGACAAUAACCUACUUGCAGAACAACAGUUUACUAAGGUGGUGACAGAAGUGCAUUAAAUUUGUCAUUCACAGAGUUAACCAGUGAACUGAGGUAUAUUAAUACUUGUCAGUCAUUCUCCUAGGCAUAUUUUCUUCCUUCUUUUUUGCUCCUGCAUUCCUAUUUAUGAGUUUGAGGUGUUUGCAAACUGUUCCACGAUUCAAAUGGUUCUCUGUGAAUUCAGGGAGACGUUUUGAAAAUGGAAGACCUGUGCACAAACAUAUAAGCAUCUAUACAUGUUAUUCUAUUGGUUGCAUCUCAGGUCUGUUGCCUGAGCACCUACCUGAAUAUUUGCAUGCACACUUGCCAAUCUUUCCAGUUUUAAUUUUGGUAAAUGCAUGUAACAUUUUGCAUGUAAGCAAAUAUUUUUUAAUGAAGUUCUGUUUUGGGAAAAGUUGGUUCUUGAAGUCCAGAUAGGCAUUUACUGCUUCUUUAAACAUGGCUACUUUCUUUAAAAUGCUGGUAGUAUACCAAAGCUUUUGGAUGUAGCUGUCUACACUGUUCCUGUGCCUACUGCACAUCUCUUCCAUUGGCAUUGGUCUCGGUACUUUUCCAAAGACAAGAACAGGAGCACCACACUUCCGUAACACAUAGUUUCCAGCCUUUUCCACCUCCUAUACUUGACCCUCCUUUCUCUCCAUGUAGAAAUUCUCCAUCUUCAUCUUAAGCACAUUGAGCUUUGAUGAGAUCACUUGGUGUAGUGUGGUGUGGUUUUUAAUUGGCCUUAUCUCCUCCUUUCUUGCUCAUCUCUUCCUCUGCUCAGCCACCAUCUAAGGACUGCUAUCUAAGGGCCCUGGAAAACAUUACACCAUGCUGUAAUCUACAGUGUGCCACACAUUCAGCCAAUUUAUGGUGCCAUAAACUGGCAAACCAGUCACAAAGAUGUUCCACAUAUAACAUAGACCAAGGGUGCUCAACCUGUGGCCCACAAACCAAAUGCAGCCUACAGAGCUAUGGCAUCCAGCCCACAGGCAUAGGUGGAUUAACGCACAGGCCCGGGGCCCCUGCCAAUUAGCAGCCCCCUGGAUGCCUGCAUUUCCUCAGGAAACAGAGGAUUUCUGCUUGCAGGCAGGCAGCAUUCUAUCCUGCAAGGGGUCCUGCUUGGGACAGCCAGGAGUGGGAUGCAGGGGGGCGCCAGGUGCACGUACACAGCCACACGCAUGCCCGUGGCUAGGAAAACAGCCAGGCAGCAUGGAGAGCAGCUCUCUGCAGAUAAGUGAGGAAGCAGUGUGUGGGACGCAGAUCAAGGCCUCCACAGUGAGGCCAGGAGUGGGGCAGGGUCUGGGGGUGCUGUCCGCCCUAGGUAGUGCAUGAGGUACAGGGCUGUGGCAGGGAACAGAAUGGAGCCCUAGGCAGCUUAACCGGGCAGGAGGGGGGCUGUGUGUGCAGCCCCCAGAAGAGGCAUGGCGGGGUAUGUGCCCCCCCAGAUUUGUGCGCGAAGCAGGUGUGGGCUGCUCACUGUAGGCUCGGGGCUCUCCUCUCUUCUGCCCUUGUCCCGGGAGCCCUGUGCUGGCCCACAGCAGGUAGCCUGCAUCCACCCUUGCCCUGCUCAGCUCGGCCCUGCUCUGGCCAUGGCAGGGCAGGGGGGAGGAAGGGCAGAGAGGAGAAGCGGGCAAGUGCCACCCCACCCCCAGCCUGGCCGGGUCCAUCCUGCUUCCACUGCGGGGCAUGGAGCUCCACCCUGCCCUUGGCAGCAGCAGCACCAGGAGGGGAAAGAGCCCCUACCCCCACUGAAGUACAUACAUUCAUGUUUAUAAUGGGAUGUGGGGAGCCUCCAAUUUUCUAUUUUCCCAGGGCUCCAAUAAAUCUUAAUCCAACACUGCCUAAAGGGCUCCAGUGGGUUGAAAUUUGUCAGCAGGAAAACAAUGGCCAUUAAUAUGACCACCCUCCCCCACUGCCAAAUUCCCAAACCCCAAGCUGUAUGGCAGGUGAAAGCCCCACCAUGCCCCCUUUCCUCUGCAUGGCUGGGUUGGGGCUGCAGGGCUCUGAAAGGUUGAAGUUUGGCAGUGGAGGAACAGUGGCCAUUAAUAUGGAAACCCUCCCUCACUGCCAAAUUUCCAAGCCCCAAACCCUUUGGCAGGUUGAAGUCCUACCAUGGCCCUGUCCCCCUACAAGGCUGGGCCAUGCCCUCUUCCUCCCACAGGGCUGUGUUGGGACCAGGCCUUUUCCCCCUUCUUCCCCUGCUCUCAUGGGGCCAAGUUACAUCAAGCCCCCUCCCCUCUGUGGGGCCAGGCCAUGCCCUUUCUCCCCCCUCUCCCCCCGAGAGCUAAGUUGGGGCUGUGUCAAGCCCCCCUCCCCCUCCCAAUCUUCCUAUGGGGCCAAGGCUAUCCCAUUUCUCCCAUGGGGCUGGGCUGCCCCUGUCCCACUCCAUGCUACUGGAUCAGGCCCUGCUCCAGGCACCAGAUUGGAACCACCAGUGGGAUCCAGCCCACAGAUGGACCAGGCACUCCCUAUCCAGCCCUUUGGGCAAGAAAGUUGAGCACCACUGACAUAGGGCACCACACAAACCAGCUAUGAAGAUGUGGCAUGCCUCCUUCCCAGUUGCUGCUUAUCAUGGGGAGGGUGCAGGCCCAACUGGUUAGAGAACUUGGGCUUCUCCAGUCGAAGAGUCAGCUGUUGUUAGUAUGGGAAUCAGGGCAGCCCAUGAUCUUGAAUCGAACUGGGGGUCUGCAAGUGCUGGGCAGCAGGGGGAGCUGGUUAGCCCUGCCCCAAAGAACCAUGUAGGGCUCCACUAUGUACAACCCUCACCUUGCCAGUGCAAGGUGAAGCCUUGGCUUACCUGGCUUCAACCUGCACUGGCAAGUUGAAAGGAUAUGGUUGGGAUCUGAUCCCUAGUCCCCCAAAUCACAUGUCCUGCCUUGUUUGUGUGGCAUGACAAGAUAUGUGAUUGUUGGUGUGGAGCUUGCGCCCUGCUCCGCCCAGUCUAUCGGGGUGUUGCCCCUCCCCUCAACUCGCCUGCCACGACUUGGAUGUUAACAUGCACAUUAAGAGGGGUCUACAGUGGAGAUCUUUAUCCUGGAGGGGCCUCCCAAUAGACGGUGGUACUCACGGUCGUCCUACGCGGUGUUCCACGGGGCUCCGCCUCCCCUACACCCCAUCCACGCGCCAGCUGCUGGGUGAUGCAUUCUAGAUGUUUCCAGGCCUCGUAUGAUGGCCUCGGACUGGUUCGCCGGUUCCCAGUUGCUCUCCCUCCUCCUCGGAGAGAUUUCUCUUUUUUCCUUUUUUUUUACAGAAAAUACUCCUCCGAAUUAUGAGAAGCUGCAAGAUGAUCCCCCUGAUUCCAGCUCCCUCUUGGAUCCUCCACUGUCUCCUCUCCCCUACCAGCAGCCGGGAGCUCCCUUGCCUCCUGAGCGUCAGCCGCUUCAGGAGCCUGAGAGAGUGCCUCUGCAUGCACUCUCUGUCUGCCUUCUGCUCCGCCUCCUGCAGAAGGCUUAAAGCUGUUCCCUAAGCUGCCUAAUUGAGACCCGCAGGCUGGGUCCUCUCCUCUCCAUGCCAGAGUUCGCCGCACGAGCUGCCCGCCCGUACUCUCUCUCUCUCUCUAGCUCUCCCUCUCUCCUCGCUCUACUGCCGUUUUUAAACCUUCCCGCGGCGGCCAAUAUGGCUGCUGGGAUUGGCUCAGCUGUUCCCCGCGCCGGGAACAGCUGAUGCCACAGCCGGCGUAAUGCUGGUUCACACAGCUGCAGCCACAAACGCGGCUCCUGCUCCCUCUGCUCUUCGGCAGGUACAUAUGCCCUUCUGGGGGCUUGCUCUCAGGGUCUGGGGGCCGCGGGUUCUCUUUUCUUUCCCUCGAGAGCCUGUGGGGGCAUCUCGCCGCCACAGUUGGGACUGAGGAAUUGGAUCUCACUGUGCUAUUAAGUUAAUGUCUGCCAGGGGCUUGAGUGCCCUGUCCAUCAACUUUGAUCACUUCUGCUCUAAGUACUCUUUUCUGCACUCUCUCCUCUUUUUCUCCUGUUGGCUCUGUUGGGGUUUUUUUUCCAUUACAAACUAUUUGGGACAAAUUUUGUCUUUUAUUUCAUGGUUUAUGGUACUUAGCCCAAUAAGACCAUACCAAUAUGGCCUUUCAGUGUCUCUGUCCCAGUAGGCAAGGAUUUUUUGUGGUAUCUUUUCUUGGACAAACUGUAUAAUUGGGAGAGCUGUUGGACAAGCAUCAAAUGCCCUUCCACAGGUCUAGCUUUCUCUCGAGAGAAACACCUGCCCAGUAAACUCCUAGUUUUGGCUCACUCUUGCUCCUCAAUUCCCUGCUCUCAUGUACCUGAGAGUUUCUGCUGGGGGCCUGUACAAAGGUGGACUUUCUCAAAGGAGGGCAAGCAAGUUAAAAGCUCCCGUUCUUCCUUUUUCCCGAUCUUUCUCAAAAGGCUCAGUCCAUGGAACACUGCACUUCUGCAUUAUAUUUCAGGUAUUUUUACCUGCUUGUCUUUGAUUACCAUAUUAAUACUAAUGACUAGCAAAUCUGCCUUUGCUAAUAGAUGGUAUUCCUCUAUCAUGUCUAGCAUCUCAUGUUGUUUUUCUGUCAGCUUAGAUUAAACGGGGUCAAAACUACUCUUUUUGUAGGAUAAGCUUCUGUUUUUUUUACCUGUAAACCAUGGUAACCAUUUCCACUUUCUCAGUAUAUCAGCCCUAUAUUUUAUUGCAUUAUUGACCCCCAGGUUAAGCUCCACUAGUAAUACCAGGCUCAACUUCUGCUUGUUUCCUGUUCCCUCAAACAUCUUUGUGCUUUCUCUCCUAUUGAUCCCAAAAUACAGGAAAAAUACUCCCACCAAGAUCUGUAAACUUUACACUUGGUUUCCUUCAAAUCCUAUUUAAACUCACCUUUGCCAACAAAAUGCUUCCAGCUAUCAAAAGAUGGACAGCUGUUGAACUGAGGUAAUUGCUUAUUUUGCACAUUUGUUUUACUGUUGCUUCCUCUUACCUUUUCUCUUUCUUUAGCACAUAUACUAAAAUUGGAACGAUACAGAGAAGAUUAGCAUGGCCCCUGCGCAAGGAUGACACGCAAAUUCGUGAGUGCUCGCUUCGGCAGCACAUAUACUAAAAUUGGAACGAUACAGAGAAGAUUAGCAUGGCCCCUGCGCAAGGAUGACACGCAAAUUCGUGAAGCUUGCUUGCUUGCUUGCUUGCUUUCUUUCUUUCUUUCUUUCUUUCUUUCUUUCUUUCUUUCUUUCUUUCUUUCUUUCUUUCUUUCUUUCUUUCUUUCUUUCUACUGGGCCGAGACCUCUCCGAAGACGCCUACGUCCACUCCUUUCCAUACCGGGCAGCCGAGCGGGCCACGGUCAGCCUGGCCAACUUCCUGCUGGGCCAGGCCAAGAUGGCCACCCUGAAGAGCCGGCGAAACCAGCUCAGCGGCACCAGGAUGGUCGACGCCCUGCAGCUCUUCCGCCUGCUGGUGCGGGCCCGCCUCUCGCUCGAGUUUGAGCACGCUGUCCUCCGGCGGACGGUGCCCGCCUUUGAGGAGCGCUGGGCCCUCGAGGGGGUGCUGUGCCGGGUCGAGGCGGGACGCCUGAUCCUCGCUCUGUGAUGCCACCGGCUGCUCAAGCCGCAGAGACGCGUCAAGCGGGCCGAGGCCCUGGACUUUUGCUCGUGCGGGUCGACCCCGGAGGCCUCCAUGGGUGUCCCUGCUGGCAGAACUGUAAAUACUGUAAAUAGUCCUUAUGUUCGUUGUGUUGGUUGUUUUUUUUUUUGUCUAGAGUGUACGGGCAGGCCUUGCAGGCCACGAGCCCAGGCCUUGUCCAUGAGGCCCAGAGCUUCGGGCGUCCUUGUACAUGCUUUUGCCUGGCUCCGAGUCAUCACCCUCCGGGGAAUAAAGGUCUCUUAAAAGUCAAAAGUCUUUCUUUCUUUCUUUCUUUCUUUCUUUCUUUCUUUCUUUCUUUCUUUCUU